CUUAGGCCGCCCGUUGUGACUCCGGCAAGAAUUCAGCAGAACAAGUUUGUAUAUAAAGAGCGCUAUGAAAGCCAGUCUACAUAUGAAGAGGUCCCAAUGAAGAGCAGUGGUUCUCAGUCCUGGGGACUCAAAGAGGGGCAUAUUGUUGUUUUUGCCUCAGCACUGCACAGCUGAUUCAAAUGAUAAACUCAUUAUCAAGCUUCAAGUGAUACCUUGUAACUGGAGAUUCCUUCAAAACAUUUGCCUACAGUUACCGUGUAGGGCACUGCAAGGUCAGGUGACCAGGGUGUGAAGGCUACCGGUGUCCUGCGUAACUUCAUGAAGAUGGACUCUAGGACCAGGAGAGGACCUGCAGCUCACCGCCAAGUGCCAGAGAAGUCUGCUGCUCUGCAGGAUUGUUCAGUCAUUUUUUUAUCAAUGUUCAUAAAUUC
ensembl:lncRNA